GCCCUCGUAGCUCAGUGGGAAUGAGAGCGCCCGAAUCCUACUCGGGAGGUCGCAAGUUCGAGUCCUGCCGAGGGCG
rnacentral:tRNA from 1 species